CAUGCCUGUAAUCCCAGCACUUUGGGAGGCCAAGGCAGGCAGAUCACUUGAGGUCAGGAGUUUGAGACCAGCCUGGCCAACACGGCAAAACCCCGUUUCUACUAAAAAUACAAAAAUUAGCUGGGUGUGGUGGCGUGCGCCUGUAAUCCCAGCUACUCAGGAGGCUGAGGCAGGAGCAUUGCUUGAACCCGGGAGGCAGAGGUUGCAGUGAGCUGAGAUGGCACCACUGCACUCCAGCCUGGGAGACACAGCGAGACUCUGUCUCCAAAAAAAAAAGUGCUUUUUGAAAAUGUUGAGGUUGAAAUGAUGGGAACCAACAUUCUUUGGAUUUAGUGGGGAGCAUAAUAGCAAACACCCCCUUGGUUCGCACAUGUACAGGAAUGGGACCCAGUUGGGGCACAGCCAUGGACUUCCCCGCCCUGGAAUGUGUGGUGCAAAGUGGGGCCAGGGCCCAGACCCAAGAGGAGAGGGUGGUCCGCAGACACCCCGGGAUGUCAGCAUCCCCCGACCUGCCUUCUGGCGGCACCUCCCGGGUGCUGUGUUGAGUCAGCAGGCAUGGGGUGAGAGCCUGGUAUAUGCUGGGAACAGGGUGCAGGGGCCAAGCGUUCCUCCUUCAGCCUUGACUUGGGCCAUGCACCCCCUCUCCCCCAAACACAAACAAGCACUUCUCCAGUAUGGUGCCAGGACAGGUGUCCCUUCAGUCCUCUGGUUAUGACCUCAAGUCCUACUUGGGCCCUGCAGCCCAGCCUGUGUUGUAACCUCUGCGUCCUCAAGACCACACCUGGAAGAUUCUUCUUCCCUUUGAAGGAGAAUCAUCAUUGUUGCUUUAUCACUUCUAAGACAUUUUGUACGGCACGGACAAGUUAAACAGAAUGUGCUUCCCUCCCUGGGGUCUCACACGCUCCCACGAGAAUGCCACAGGGGCCGUGCACUGGGCAGGCUUCUCUGUAGAACCCCAGGGGCUUCGGCCCAGACCACAGCGUCUUGCCCUGAGCCUAGAGCAGGGAGUCCCGAACUUCUGCAUUCACAGACCACCUCCACAAUUGUUAUAACCAAAGGCCUCCUGUUCUGUUAUUUCACUUAAAUCAACAUGCUAUUUUGUUUUCACUCACUUCUGACUUUAGCCUCGUGCUGAGCCGUGUAUCCAUGCAGUCAUGUUCACGUGCUAGUUACGUUUUUCUUCUUACACAUGAAAAUAAAUGCAUAAGUG
rnacentral:lncRNA from 1 species